rnacentral:rRNA from 2 species
GGGGGGGCCCGUAACAGGACAGGUCGCCGUAGAGAGUGCUCCUGGGCCUGGUGUUGCGAGUACAUUUGAGUGAGUGGCGAACUGGUGAGUAACACGUGGGAAACCUGCCCAGAAGCGGGGGAUAACACCUGGAAACAGAUGCUAAUACCGCAUAACAACUUGGACCGCAUGGUCCGAGCUUGAAAGAUGGCUUCGGCUAUCACUUUUGGAUGGUCCCGCGGCGUAUUAGCUAGAUGGUGGGGUAACGGCUCACCAUGGCAAUGAUACGUAGCCGACCUGAGAGGGUAAUCGGCCACAUUGGGACUGAGACACGGCCCAAACUCCUACGGGAGGCAGCAGUAGGGAAUCUUCCACAAUGGACGAAAGUCUGAUGGAGCAACGCCGCGUGAGUGAAGAAGGGUUUCGGCUCGUAAAACUCUGUUGUUAAAGAAGAACAUAUCUGAGAGUAACUGUUCAGGUAUUGACGGUAUUUAACCAGAAAGCCACGGCUAACUACGUGCCAGCAGCCGCGGUAAUACGUAGGUGGCAAGCGUUGUCCGGAUAUUUAUUUGGGGCGGUAAAAGCAGAGCGCACUGGAGGUUUUUUUUUAAGUCUGGAUGGUGAACAGCCUUCGCGCGUUCAACCGGGAAGAAAGUUGCACUCCGAAAACCUGGGAAACUCUGGAGUGGCAGAAGAAGGGACAGGUGGAACCUUCCAUUGUGGUAGGCGGUGAAAAUGCCGUAGAUAUUAUAGGAAGGAACACCCAGUGGCGGAAGGUCCGGCUGUUCUGGUCUUGUAACAGACGCUGAAGGCUCGAAAAGUAUGGGUAGCAAACAAGGACUAAGAAACCCUGCGAAGUUCCAUACCGUAAACCGAUGAAUGCCUAAGUGGUUGGAAGGGAUUUCCGCCCUUCCAGGGCUGCAGCUAACGCAUUUAAGGCAUUACCGCCUGGGGUAGGUACGGCCCGCAAGGGAUAGAAACUCAAAGGGAAUUGGACGGGGGGCCCGACACAAGCGGGUAGAGCAUGUGGAUUUUAAUUUCGUAAGCUUACGCGAAGCAACCUUACCAGGUCUUGACAUACUAUGCAAAUCUAAGAGAUUAGACGUUCCCUUCGGGGACAUGGAUACAGGUGGUGCAUGGUUGUCGUCAGCUCGUGUCGUGAGAUGUUGGGUUAAGUCCCGCAACGAGCGCAACCCUUAUUAUCAGUUGCCAGCAUUAAGUUGGGCACUCUGGUGAGACUGCCGGUGACAAACCGGAGGAAGGUGGGGAUGACGUCAAAUCAUCAUGCCCCUUAUGACCUGGGCUACACACGUGCUACAAUGGAUGGUACAACGAGUUGCGAACUCGCGAGAGUAAGCUAAUCUCUUAAAGCCAUUCUCAGUUCGGAUUGUAGGCUGCAACUCGCCUACAUGAAGUCGGAAUCGCUAGUAAUCGCGGAUCAGCAUGCCGCGGUGAAUACGUUCCCGGGCCUUGUACUCUCCGUAUAUAGUUUCCCGAGAGUCUGAACAACCAGUAACAGGUUAGCUCGUAUGUCGUGACCCUAGUAGCUAGAUA